CGCACGAGCGCACCCUUAAGCUUAGUUGCCAUCAUUAAGUUGGGCACUCUAAGCCNGAUUGCCGGUGACAAACCGGAGGAAGGUGGGGAUGACGUCAAAUCAUCAUGCCCCUUAUGAUUUGGGCUACACACGUGCUACAAUGGACAAUACAAAGGGUAGCAAAACCGCGAGGUCAAGCAAAUCCCAUAAAGUUGUUCUCAGUUCGGAUUGUAGUCUGCAACUCGACUACAUGAAGCUGGAAUCGCUAGUAAUCGUAGAUCAGCAUGCUACGGUGAAUACGUUCCCGGGUCUUGUACACACCGCCCGUCACACCACGAGAGUUUGUAACACCCGAAGCCGGUGGAGUAACCUUUUGGAGCUAGCCGUCGAAGGUGGGACAAAUGAUUGGGGUGAAGUCGUAACAAGGUAGCCGUAUCGGAAGGUGCGGCUGGAUCACCUCCUUU
rnacentral:rRNA from 1 species